UCCCUCAUAGCUCAAUCGGUAAAGAAUCUGCCUACAGUGUAGGAGACCCAGGUUCGAUACCUGGGUCAGGGAG
rfam:TPA: Bos taurus chromosome 21, whole genome shotgun sequence.